UAAGUCUGUGAUAGUAAUGUUACAGAGUCUGAUCACAUCCUGUCUGUUACCCCAGAUUAUCAAGGUCAGUCCUUCGGUAUCCCAAUCUGGUAUCCAGUGUGAAGGAUGCACAGCUGGUGUCUGCAUGCGCAGUAGGUAUCCCCAAACCCACUCACUCUAGCCCUCUUGUUUCUGAACUGAUUCCCCUGUCUGAAGUGCUUCCCAUGAUGGGGAUCACUAUUUGGUGUGUUUGAGCUAUAUACCCCACCACAGAACCUCCUGAGGUGGCGGCGUCCACUAUGGUGUCUCCAGAGGUGGUGGCUGAUGCUGCAGAACCUCCCGAGAUGGCGGCGCUCGCUUCAGCUCCUCGUAUGGUGGUAGCACCCAGCAAUGCACAUUCAGCCUGUCAUGUCACGAUUGAAGGAACCAUUACUGAACUUUGUACCUGUCCUGUUAAGAAGAACACUAAUGAACUUCCCUGUUUCCUGAUGGUACAGCUGUAGAACCUCCAGAGGUGUCAGUGGUAUCUUGUUCUGUUCCAGCCAAGGAGGUGAUCCCUCUGCCUGUCAUGGCUUUGGAGGCCGUCUGUGAACUCCCUGUUUGUCAUGUCAUGGCUACCGAAGCUGCUUGUGAACUUUUCGUUAAAACGUUAAAAGAACAAAAUGAACACAAUUUUGCAAAUGUACAUGUUAGAGGUGGUGUAGACAGAUCGUAGUUGUUACAUUUGUGAGUUUUUUUUUUUUACAAUAUACUGAAUACUAAAUGCAUAACACUGUUAACCUUCUCAUGGAGCAUGAAACCAGAUUGAAAUAUCUCCAUAGAGGAUGUUGUUGGAAAGAGUUGUCAUGGAAACAGCGUUGGAUAGGAUCACAGCAUUAUGUAGCAUGAUGACAGCUCUUCACCAAAUAUGUGUUUAGAGGUUACAGUGAGAGUGUUUUGGAGGACAAAUGCAUAUCUCAUUAACCUAGAAUAGUCUGAUGUUACUUAGAACUCACACAGGCUUUUUUGUAUCAUUAUAAAUAAAAACAAAAAUUUUAUUGAAAAACUGAAUUGG
ensembl:lncRNA